UACGUAGGGUGCGAGCGUUGUCCGGAAUUAUUGGGCGUAAAGAGCUUGUAGGCGGUCUGUCGCGUCUGCUGUGAAAAUCCGGGGCUCAACCCCGGACUUGCAGUGGGUACGGGCAGACUAGAGUGUGGUAGGGGAGACUGGAAUUCCUGGUGUAGCGGUGAAAUGCGUAGAUAUCUGGAGGAACACCGGUGGCGAAGGCGACGUUCUGGACUGCAUCUGACACUGAAAGACGAAAGCCAGGGGAGCAAACGGG
rnacentral:rRNA from 1 species